rnacentral:rRNA from 1 species
GACGAACGCUGGCGGCGUGCUUAACACAUGCAAGUCGAACGGAAAGACCCUGCUUUUGUGGGGUGCUCGAGUGGCGAACGGGUGAGUAACACGUGAGUAACCUGCCCUUGACUUUGGUAUAACUUCAGGAAACGGGAGCUAAUACCGGAUAGGAGCUCCUGCUGCGUUGUGGGGGUUGGAAAGUUUCGGCUGUUGGGGAUGGACUCGCGGCUUAUCAGCUUGUUGGUGGGGUAGUGGCUUACCAAGGCUUUGACGGGUAGCCGGCCUGAAAGGGUGACCGGCCACAUUGGGCCUGCGAUACGCCCCAGACUCCUACGGUAGGCAGCAGUGGGAAACAUUGCACAGUGGGCGGAAGCCUGAUGCAGCAACGUCGCGUGCGGGAUGACGUCCUUCGGGUUGUAAACAGCUGUCGCCUGUGACGCAGCGUGACUGACGGUAAUGGGUAAAGAAGCACCGGCUAACUACGUG